UACGUAUGUCGCAAGCGUUAUCCGGAUUUACUGGGCGUAAAGCGCGUCUAGGCGGUUUAGCAAGUCUGUUGUGAAAAUGCGGGGCUCAACCCCGUAUGGCGUUGGAAACUGCUAAACUAGAGUGCAGGAGAGGUAGGCGGAACUACAAGUGUAGAGGUGAAAUUCGUAGAUAUUGGUAGGAAUGCCGAUGGGGAAGGCAGCCUACUGGACUGACACUGACGCUAAAGCGCGAAAGCGUGGGUAGCAAACAGG
rnacentral:rRNA from 1 species